AGAAUUUUCUGUAAGGUCUUAUCACUCAGUGGCAGGAGCUCAGUCUGCACACAGUUCAGGAACCUGGCCAAGGACCCAUGCCCUCAAACAAGGAUUAGACUGGUGCUCUCUGAGUCCCAAUGUACACGGUCUCUGGGACCGUCUCCAGAUGGUUCUGGUCCUGUGUAUGAAAUACUCUGUCUCAUGACUAUGCAAAUAGUCCUAAGAGCACCAGGUUAAGUAUGGGUGUGUCUGUGCCCUGAGAGCAUCACCGGAAAACGCCAUCCUCUAUCGGAGACCCUGAGACACAUCCCCUCACAAUGGACUGGAGCUGGAGAAUCCUCUACCUGGGGGCAGUGGCUACAGGUGUGCACUCCCAGGUUUUGCUGGUGCAGUCUGGGGCUGAAGUGAGGAAGCCUGAGGCAUCAGUGAAGAUCUUCUGCAAAGCAUCUGGAUACAGCUUCACUGAUUACUAUAUGUACUGGGUGCGACAGGCUCCUGCACAAGGGUUUGAGUGGAUGGGAAGCAUUGACCCUGAAGAUGGUUCUACAAGCUAUGCACAGAAGUUCCAGGGCAGACUCACCCUGACAGCAGACACAUCCACAAACACAGCCUACAUGGAGCUGAGCAGUCUGAGGUCUACAGACAUGGCCGUGUAUUAUUGUGCAAGGACACAGUGAGGGGUUGUCAGUGUGAGCCCAGUCACAAACCGCCCUGUGGAAGAAGAUCAGGACCACCAGGGGGUGCACACUAUGCACCAUUCUGUUUGUGUUCCCAGGAGCAGAUGCAGGUACGGGUUGCUGGAAGGUUUUGUGCCAUGGCCUGGGGCUUCCUCUCCAUACAGCAGUUUCCCCCAGGAAGCCUCUCUGGACACAUGAUUCUGUGCUUACCUACUUGGGUCUGGUUUACAAAGUUUGUUUUACCAGGAAAACUAUAAUUACAUGAACAAGAGAUAGAGUCUCCUACAAUUGCUUACCCUUGUACUAAAUAUCAAUGGUUUACACGUAUCCUGAUGCACAUCAACUGAACAUUUCCAGGAGUCCCAGGAGCGCUCACUUUGCAUCUAGGGCCACAGGACCCCAUAGCUCCUCGUUAUCCUCACCCUGCUCUUGUCCCAGUCAAACACCAUGACACCUCAUUGAUGUCACUUUGCUUACCAGAACUUUAUAUGUGUUACAGUUUUCUUCAAAUACUUGAAACUACAAGAGAAAAAGCAUCUACAUGUAUUAGGAUAAUCCUGAGGGACAGAACACAUAGCACAUUGGCUUACAUGAAUAAAUAGGCUGAGAAGUCCCAUGAUAUACUAUCACAUGCUGGAUACCCAGUAAAGUCAGUGGUGUAAUUCUCAUCUGAUUCCAAACUAGUGUCAAGUCUGAGAACGGGGGACCUGAUGGUUUAACUUUCACUCCAAGGGCAAGAGGAAGUCAAUGUUACAGCUCAAGCAGGCACACAAGAAGUAAAAAUGAGAGAAUUUGCUUCACUUUUAUUUUUAUUCUAUUCAUAACCUUAACGGAUUGGGUUAUGCCCACUUCCCAAGACACCAAACGCAAGAACACAGUGCACACAGCACUCACCACAAACCCUUCCUGAAGCGCCAGUCUCCGCACAGCAUAUGAACUCUUCUUAAUGUAGCCAUUACUCUCAGAAGCUGAAAACAUAACAGGUUUUCUAAAACACAGAAGAAGACAGAGACCUAGACAAUAUGAGAAUAUGGAGGAAUCCAUCCCCAAAGAGAGAACAAGAAAGGAUCAUAUCCAGGGAUCUAAUCAAAACAGAUAUAAGGAAUAGGCCUAAAACAGAACUUAAAACAACAAUAGUAAGGAUAAUGGAUGGGCUUGAGAACAGCAUAGAAGACAUCAAGGAUAUGCAUACCACAGAGAUAAAAGACAUAAAAACUGGUCAACGGUGAAAUUUAAAAAUGCUAUGAAAGAGACAUGAUGCUUACUGCACAUAAUAAUGGGUGGAAGCAGCAGAGGAAUGACUAAGUGAUAUAGAAGAUAAAAUUAUGGAAAAUAAGGAAUCAGAAAAGAGAGGGUAAACUAACUUCUUGGGUUGUGGAUGUAGACUUAGAGAACUCAGCCACUCUGUACAGUGUAGUAAAAUUCCUUUCAUAGGAGUCCCAAAAGAAGAGAGGGAAAAAGGGACAGAAGGUUUAUUUGUGCAAAUUGUAGCUGAAAGUUGCCCUAACCCAAGGAAGGAAAUGAACAUCCAAAUCCAGAAGGCACAGAGAACUCCUAUCAAAAUCAACAAAAGCAGGCCAUUACCAAGAUAAAUCAUAGAAAAUUGACAUAAUAUAGAGAUAAAGGAAAAAUCCUAAAAGCAGCAAGAGAAAAGAAGUCCCUAAGAAGGGAAGGCAAAUAAGGUUAGUUCCCUUCACAGAAACUUACCAAGAGAGAAGGGAGUGUCAUCAUACAUUCAAUGUGCUGAAUGGGAAAAAAAUAGGCAGGCAAGAAUACUUUAUC